GUCCGCACUGUAAACGAUGAUUACUCGCUGCUAGGGGGCAACUCUUAGUGGCUUAGCGAAAGCGAUAAGUAAUCCACCUGGGGAGUACGCCGGCAACGGUGAAACUCAAAGGAAUUGACGGGGGCCCCGCACAAGCGGAGGAGCAUGUGGUUUAAUUCGAUGAUACGCGAGGAACCUUACCAGGGCUUGAAAGUUAGUGACCGCCUCUGAAAGGAGGCUUCCCGCAAGGGCACAAAACUAGGUGCUGCAUGGCUGUCGU
rnacentral:rRNA from 1 species